AAGACCUUGCGCUUUUGGAGCGGCCGAUGCCUGAUUAGCUUGUUGGUAAGGUAAAAGCUUACCAAGGCUUCGAUCAGUAGCUGGUCUGAGAGGACGACCAGCCACACUGGGACUGAGACACGGCCCAGACUCCUACGGGAGGCAGCAGUGGGGAAUUUUGGACAAUGGGGGCAACCCUGAUCCAGCCAUGCCGCGUGAGUGAAGAAGGCCUUCGGGUUGUAAAGCUCUUUCAGCCGGAAUGAAACGGUUACGGAUAACACCCGUGACUACUGACGGUACCGGAAGAAGAAGCACCGGCUAACUACGUGCCAGCAGCCGCGGUAAUACGUAGGGUGCGAGCGUUAAUCGGAAUUACUGGGCGUAAAGCGUGCGCAGGUGGUUUUGUAAGUCAGAUGUGAAAGCCCCGGGCUCAACCUGGGAACU
rnacentral:rRNA from 1 species